AGAGAGUGUACUUUCAUUUUCACAUUAUUGAACGCUGUGAGCACGUUUUCAAUAAGAACUGGUUUCCUUGAACAAUAAGGAUGUGCUACAACUGGAGUCAUAUUGCUGACCUGGAAGUUUAUCUGCAGAACAAUGACCGUGAUGUAGUCACCUGUCACUGUACCAGGGCAUCCAUUAGUGACAGAUAUUUGUGCAGAUUAGGAAACCAAGAUCAAUGGGAGAAUGCUAGUGAUGAAGAUAGUGAUAGUAUCGCUGACUUGACAGAGAACAAUGAAGAUAAAGAAGAUGAAUCAGUAGAUGACAAUGAAGCUGUAAAUGAGCAAGACACAGAGGAUAACAGAGAGUGUAUAGAUGAAGAGGCAGCUCUCAUGUCCGCUUUAGGACUACCAACGUCUUUUGGCUCCAAAACAUCUACCACAGAGAAACCAAAACCAAAAAAGUCAUCUGGAAAAAAAAGAAAAAAGCAGAGUAAACGGAAAAAGAGUUCACAGAAAUCAGUCCAUGAUUCUUCUUUAGUUGAAACUGGGGACAUGUCCAACAACAGAGAUCUUCAAUUUGACCCAGCGUGGCAAAGCUACUGGGAGCAGUAUGGGGAAUACUUAGUGUGGGAGGGAUGGGUAAAUAAAUAUCCAGAACAGAUUGACUCUGGGAUGUACUUAGGAAUUCCCUGUAUAGCAGAAGUAGAGGUAGAAACUCAAGUAGCCGUGAGGGAACAAGAUGAAGUAGAAAGUAAGAGUGAGGUGAAUAAACCUGAGACUGUUUUACCAACCUGCUCUGGAAAUAAAAGUCCAAAGGAUGUAGGUUUGGAAAGUAAAGAGGAUGAAAAUAAUGCAGCAUCAAAAAUUUGUGAUGAAAAAGAAAAAUUAUGCGGAGGAAGUCCGUCCCAUGUCUUCCCACAAGUGUGUAACAGGUUUCAGGAAUCUUACAAUGCUGCAAUUGAAAAUGUUAUGAAAGAGAGAACAGAGAAGGAAGUUGUGAGUGACAAUGGAGAUCAGUCAUCCUCAGUGACAGAAAACAUUGCAAACCAGCAGACAGAGACGGUGAAUCUGAUGCACAGCUACUCUUAUUCUGGGCCUCCUCAACAGUACGAGAGAGAACAAGAUCAUCAAGUGGAUGAGGAGAAUUCCAAUGGUGUCUGUGGAGAUGAUGGAAAUGGGGUGCCUAUGGGAGAAUAUACAAGUCAGGAGAAUUAUGAUAUAGCUUGGCAGGAGCUCUGGAAUGAACACUACACAGAAUUGUAUUGGUACUAUUACAACCAGUUUCUGAAUGAGUUCAACAAACUUAAGGUUCCCAGGGAAACAGUCCAGCAAACAGAAUCACAGGGAGACAAGGAAACUCCUCAGGAGGUUUCAAGUGACCAUGUUUGUGGGGACACUGUGGAUGAUGCAGGAGAGGCUGUUGAUAUCAGGGAAGAUGAGGUGGAAGAUGGAUCAGGGGAAGGCAGGAAGAGGAAGGCAGGCAACCAGACUACACAACAGACAGGGCAGCAGUGUACAUCAGGGACCAGUGGUGGUAGCAGUGGACAGUCCACCAGUCAGUGUGGGGGAGGGGCUCUAUCAGGUGGGACAGGGGGUGGAGACAAUGAUCCCCCUGAUGACCGGCCCAAAGAUAUCCCUAACAGCCAUUCACAAGAUGAUGUCCCUUUAGAAGAAGAUGGCAGGGAAGGGUUGAAGUUCAUGGGAUUUGCCUUAACAGAAGAUAAUGAAGAUACGCCAGAAAGACCUGUAAAAACUUCAAGAAUGACAGUUGGAAAAAUAAAGUAUCUUGAUAAAAAGGCAUUGCGGAACAGUAAGAAAAUGGACAAAGGAAAAGAACCCUCUCACUUCUGGUAUGAUGAUAAAGGUGAAAAGUUAACAUUCACAAAGAGUAAGGCCCUGAAUAAGGUGAAACGAUUCCUUGAAAAGGCUGAUGAUGAAGAUAAAGAAUUGGAUCAGAAAAUGGAGGGAGAUCCUGGUGUGUGUAAUGAGAGCAUGUUGGAUAUAAAUGACUCGGAUUCUUCUUCAUCUUCUGAUGAUACCAGUAAUUUACAACAAAAGCCUGGACCUCACUCUCAAAAAGAUCCGGAACAAAGUGAAAUUGUAGACUCCAAGUUAAAUAAAAAUAUUCACUCUGAAAAAGAGGUGUCAGUUGAAACUCAGUGCAUGGAAAAUGAGACAAUACAAAUUACCAGUCACAAGAAGAAAAAGAAGAGAAAUAAAAAGAAAGUGAAAAUGCCUCCAGAGGUGGCCAACAGUGAGGAUUUGAGGAAGUACUGGGCCCAGAGGUACCGUCUGUUCUCUAGAUUUGAUGAGGGCAUUAAGCUGGACAGAGAGGGAUGGUUCUCGGUGACCCCUGAGAAAAUAGCAGAGCACAUUGCAGAGCGAUGCCGAUGUGAUGUUAUUGUGGAUGCUUUCUGUGGUGUAGGGGGAAAUGCUAUACAAUUUGCAUUCACUUGUGAAAGAGUUAUAGCAAUUGACAUUGAUCCUGACAGAGUGGCAAUUGCCAAGCACAAUGCCCGAGUGUAUGGGGUAGAGGACAGGAUAGAGUUCAUCAUCGGGGACUACUUCCAUGUGGCUCCAAAACUCCGAGCUGAUGUUGUGUUUCUGAGCCCUCCCUGGGGUGGUCCAGAGUAUCUGGGAGCAGAAGUGUUUGAUCUGGAGACCAUGAUUGAGUUAAAAUCUUCAGCAAUUUUUGAUGUAGCAAGAAAAAUCACAGACAAUAUUGCCUUCUUUGUUCCAAGAAAUGCAAAUGUUGAGCAACUGACCUAUUUGGCUGGUCCUGGGGGAAAUGUGGAAAUCGAGCAGAAUCUUUUGAACAAUAAACUGAAGACAAUCACAGCCUACUAUGGUGAACUUGUGCUGGAAGGAGAGCACAUUGAGGAAGCAGCACAGAAUGUGGACAACAUUACAGAGAUUGAACAAAUCAAUCAAUCAAAUUAAACUCAAGAGACGGGGGACAUCGAACAUUAAACUGACAUUCAUUAAGAUGCAUGAUUACACUAUAAGCAGAAAGAAUAUACUGUAGUAAGGAAAAGAGAAAAGUUUACCAUAAAAAACUCUAAAAAAUGAAUGAAUAAAAAAAUUCACAUACUCA
rnacentral:misc_RNA from 1 species